rnacentral:rRNA from 1 species
GUGAGGAAUAUUGCGCAAUGGAGGCAACUCUGACGCAGCCAUGCCGCGUGCAGGAAGAAGGCGCUACGCGUUGUAAACUGCUUUUAACCGGGAAGAAACCCCAGGACGUGUCCUGGGUUGACGGUACCGGAGGAAUAAGCACCGGCUAACUUCGUGCCAGCAGCCGCGGUAAUACGAAGGGUGCAAGCGUUAUCCGGCUUCAUUGGGUUUAAAGGGUGCGUAGGCGGAGCGUUAAGUCAGUGGUGAAAUCCUGCAGCUUAACUGUAGACUUGCCAUUGAUACUGGCGCUCUUGAGUGCGCUUGAAGUGGGCGGAAUGUGCCGUGUAGCGGUGAAAUGCUUAGAUAUGGCACAGAACACCAAUUGCGAAGGCAGCUCACUAAGGCGAUACUGACGCUGAGGCACGAAAGCGUGGGGAUCGAACAGGAUUAGAUACCCCAGUAGUCC